GACGAACGCUGGCGGCGUGCUUAACACAUGCAAGUCGAGCGGUAAGGCCCUUUCGGGGGUACACGAGCGGCGAACGGGUGAGUAACACGUGGGUGACCUGCCCUUAGCUCUGGGAUAAGCCUGGGGAAACUGGGUCUAAUACCGGAUAUGACUCCAUGACGCAUGUUGUGGGGUGGAAAGCCUUGUGCGGCUAGGGGAUGGGCCCGCGGCCUAUCAGCUUGUUGGUGGGGUGAUGGCCUACCAAGGCGACGACGGGUAGCCGGCCUGAGAGGGCGACCGGCCACACUGGGGACUGAGACACGGCCCAGACUCCUACGGGAGGCAGCAGUGGGGAAUCUUGCGCAAUGGGCGAAAGCCUGACGCAGCGACGCCGCGUGAGGGAUGAC
rnacentral:rRNA from 1 species